UACGGAAGGCAGCAGUGGGGAAUAUUGCACAAUGGGCGCAAGCCUGAUGCAGCCAUGCCGCGUGUAUGAAGAAGGCCUUCGGGUUGUAAAGUACUUUCAGUCGUGAGGAAGGUGUUAAGGUUAAUAACCUUAGCAAUUGACGUUAGCGACAGAAGAAGCACCGGCUAACUCCGUGCCAGCAGCCGCGGUAAUACGGAGGGUGCGAGCGUUAAUCGGAAUUACUGGGCGUAAAGGGCACGCAGGCGGUUAAUUAAGUUGGAUGUGAAAUCCCCGGGCUUAACCUGGGAAUGGCAUUCAAGACUGGUUAGCUAGAGUCUUGUAGAGGGGGUAGAAUUCCAUGUGUAGCGGUGAAAUGCGUAGAGAUGUGGAGGAAUACCGGUGGCGAAGGCGGCCCCUGGGACAAAGGCUGACGCUCAUGUGCGAAAGCGUGGGGAGCAAACAGGAUUAGAUACC
rnacentral:rRNA from 1 species